UGAAACAAUAACUAUUUAUCCUGAUGUUUAAACACACAGUCAGUCUACUAUAAAUUCAGACGCAAAACGUUGUACAUCAAAUAGAUCUGACCUGUAUACGUUAGGUAAAAAAGCAAAAUUAAGGAAACCAUUUCAAUAUGAAAAAAAUAACAAUUGUUGGAGCAAUUUUUGUUUUACUUCUGAUCUUUUCAUGUGUGAUGGAAGUGCAAGGGGCGGAACCCAAAAACAGUGUACGGGUUCUCAAGUGUUCUAAACACUGCCUACUGCCAUUUAUGAAAAGCAAGUGAAAAAAAUGUUGUAAAAAGAAUGGAAAGAAACAUGGACGAUGCUUUUCUGUCUUUUGUGUGUGUUGGAACUGGCCAUAAGGUUUAACAUUAAGAACAAUGAGCCUUAAUGAUACUGCCUCGUGUUAAAAGUUGAAUUAAAAAAAUAAGUCAUCAGACAAGAA